UUCAUCGUCUUCUACCUGCUUGGACUCUGAUUCUGGUGAACGAAAUCAACGUCGAAAAAAUAUGAUCAUGAUCGAUGCUGGAAAAGGAACCGGACUUAUGGCUGAAAAAAUUAUAUUUGAACUUGAAUUUAAAUAAAGUCGAGGGUAUUAUUCCUAAAAACCAAAAUGAUUAAAUCGAAGCAAAGGAAAACCGCUCUCAAGCCAGCCACCACCGCCAUGAAAG